rnacentral:rRNA from 1 species
UACAGAGGUGGCAAGCGUUGUUCGGAAUUACUGGGCGUAAAGGGCGCGUAGGCGGUCCUGUAAGUCCUGUGUGAAAUCCCCCGGCUCAACUGGGGAAUUGCACGGGAAACUGCGGGGCUUGAGUUCGGGAGAGGGAAGCGGAAUUCCGGGUGUAGCGGUGAAAUGCGUAGAUAUCUGGAGGAACACCGGUGGCGAAGGCGGCAUCCUGGACCGAGAUUGACGCUGAUGCGCGAAAGCCAGGGGAGCAAACGGG